AGCGAACGCUGGCGGCAGGCUUAACACAUGCAAGUCGAACGCCCCGCAAGGGGAGUGGCAGACGGGUGAGUAACACGUGGGAACGUACCCUUUGGUUCGGAAUAACUUGGGGAAACUCAAGCUAAUACCGGAUAAGCCCUUAUGGGGAAAGGUUUACUGCCGAAGGAUCGGCCCGCGUCUGAUCAGCUAGUUGGUGAGGUAACGGCUCACCAAGGCGACGAUCAGUAGCUGGUCUGAGAGGAUGAUCAGCCACACUGGACUGAGAUACGGCCCAGACUCCUACGGGAGGCAGCAGUGAGGAAUAUUCCACAAUGGGGGAAACCCUGAUGGAGCGAUGCCGCGUGCAGGAAGACGCUUUUCGGAGUGUAAACUGCUUUUAAUAGGGAAGAUUAUGACGGUACCUAUAGAAUAAGGACCGGCUAACUACGUGCCAGCAGCCGCGGUAA
rnacentral:rRNA from 1 species